GAUGAAUGCUGGCGGCGUGCCUAACACAUGCAAGUCGAGCGGCAGCGAGGGGUGCUUGCACCCUGUCGGCGAGCGGCGAACGGCUGAGUAACGCGUAGGAAUUUGCCCCAAAGUGAGGAAUAACUGCCCGAAAGGGUAGCUAAUGCCGCAUAUGGUCUUCGGAUUAAAGGAUUUAUCCGCUUUGGGAGAAGCCUGCGUUGGAUUAGGUUGUUGGUAGGGUAAUGGCCUACCAAGCCGACGAUCCAUAGCUGGUCUGAGAGGAUGAUCAGCCAGACUAGAACUGAGACACGGUCCAGACUCCUACGGGAGGCAGCAGUGAGGAAUCUUCCACAAUGGGCGAAAGCCUGAUGGAGCAACGCCGCGUGAAGGAUGAAGGCCUUCGGGUUGUAAACUUCUUUUAUGAGUGAAGAAUAUGACGGUAACUCAUGAAUAAGCACCGGCUAACUACGUG
rnacentral:rRNA from 1 species